CCCAGGGGCCUGAAGCGGCACGGCACGGCACGGCAGGCGCGCCUCAGUGAGCGGAAUUAUUCUAACGAGCCGUCAUUUGACCUUAGUGUUAGUUAUGGGCAGGUCCAUUAUUUGAAAAGUUUGUUACAUCUUAUGAGCUCAAAGAAGGUUGCACAGUAAUGAAACACAUUGAGAAUUUUUGGCUUUUGAUGACUUCUAGAGAGCUUUCCAUUUCUCCUAAGUUAUCUGAAAAAAUAAUAUUUGAAGCCACCAGAUUUUAUAAUUUAAAAAAAAGAAAGAUAAAAAAAUACUAUGCAGCAAAAUGUCUCAAUGCAGUCAUAUUCAACAAAAUGAUCAGGAGUUUAUUAUGCACCUGAUGUACACCUGAUUAGAAUGUCAUUGUACCGUAAAACUCAACGUUCUUGACACAGGAGUUGCAGAAGUGGCUGCUAAGGAUGUUUUCCUCUAAGAUAAUAAUCAAGUACUGUAGAAGAAGAAGGCAUUAGAAUAUGUGUGUACUGUUCAAGCAGUAGAGAACAGCCCUGGGGUUGCUGAGACGCAUGCACAAAUAGAGAGGUUGUAUUUCUACAUUCAAAAAUGCGUAUGGGGACAAAUUCAGAUCUUACUAUCAAGACAACCCAACACUUCAUAUUGCCAAAUGGCCUGCAGAAACAGACUCAUUCCUGAUUCUCAUGCAUUUAAAAUCCUGACUGUUUGGGACUGCAGGAUUUUCACUCUCUCAUGUUAUCAGGUUAAAUGUGUACUGUGAUGCCACUAUCACUGAAGUUUCAACAGGCAGAACUUUUCCUUUUAUACAAACAAAUUUAUUGCUUCAUUGGUUUGCAUAAUAAAAGUGUGAGGAUCUACAAAUUAAAAGCAUGACUCACCUCUAUAAAAAAAUGGCUGGAUGGAAUGAAGACUGAUGAUCUUUGAAAGUGUGAUUUCUAAAACAGUAAACCACUAAACACACUAUGUUCUGCAUAAAUGGAUAAAGCUGGUCAGAUGCAAUGAACAAAAUUACUUUUAAGAGAAGUCGAUCAGGAUUCUGAUGGCUGCAUCAGCUUCAAAGAGUUUGAAUCUGUAAUGAAGUACGGACAAGAUGAAGUAUCACCAGUGUUCUUUGCCUAAGGAAUAUUUUCUGGUAAAAAGACAAACUGAAAACUUCAGAUCUCAAGAUAUUUAAAAAUCAAUGAAACUUCAUUUGUUUCAGCCAGCAUUUUAAGAACUUUGACUGUACAAUGAAACUAGGAUCUUCCUCUUUUUUAAUUCCGAGGCAGGUAAUAUGCAAAUAAUGAGAGGAAGUUGGAGACGCUGAGUAUAUCAGCAGAUAUACCUGAUUCUUUAUAUAAAAAAAGAGGUACCUUGAUGAAAUGAGCUGUAACUCAAAUAUCAUGCUUUAUGUGCUAAUCAGUGGGAGCAAACUGGCGUUGCCCUUGAAAGGUGAUGGUAAGACAUGCUAAUAAAUUGGAGCUAUGCCUUAGAAAUGCCAUUUCCCAAUAGAUGAAUGUUUUCAUAAGAGAAUCAUCACCAUGGAUGUUAAUUAGCAAUAUCAUCACAUGCUCUUCUGAGAUGCAGGAGAUUGAAUUACUAUCCCACAGGGAUAGUUGCUACAGGUCUAUGCACAGUCAUGAGAAAAUGUAUGAGUUUGCUGUGUUAUUACUUGGACUGUAUUUUUUUGUUCAGUAGACCUCAGGUUUUCUAUUGCCCAAACCCUAUACCCUUCCUAAACAAUAAAUCCAUGCAGUAUUAUUUUAUUGGGAUAUAUUAAUUUAUCAUUAUUUAUUAUUUUGCUUAUUUUAAAAUAAUUAUUUAGUUCAUAAGGAGCAGUUAAAAAUGCUGUGGCCUCCUGUUUAUAUUUCUAGUACACCUGUGAUUUGUUGUCUAAAUAGCUGACAAUGUAUAUGCUAUAUUGUACAUGCAUAAUAUUCUGUUAAAUAUUUUACCAAAGAGAAAUAUCUGUGCUUUUAAUAAUAAGAAAUGUAUAUACAUCUUGUAUAUAUGGCAAGGAACUCUAGAGAGGAAAAUGCUCUUAUCUCCUUUAUUUCCACUUGUUCUCAAUCCUUAUUUUCUCAAGGACUUGUAAAGGUGCUAUGAACUUGAAUUGCUGAGUUAACAUAAACUCCAGGAGAGGCCAAUGACAUUUUUUUACUGUGUUGGAAUUUUUUUAGAAAAGAGCAGAUCUAUAUUAAAGUAUGAUAAGUACUCUCAUUUCUCUUCCCAUGGGAACUGACAGAAAGGAACUGCUGAUGACCACAGUGAAGUGGAACUGAGUAGGCCAUGGUGACACUCUUCCUUUUGAAUACUAGAAUAGAAAUUAAUUACUAGCUACUGCUUGUCUGGGUUUUGGCUAGCAAACUGCAGAAACACUUCAGCCUUGGCUAAAACUGGAUAAAAUUAGGAGUGACAUUUAUUAGGUGAUGGCCUAUUCCUACUAAUGGUUUGGGAAAAAACCAAAAGCAAUGGCUACUCAGCUAUUGGGCAAAAGAGACUACAUGCUCCUCAGUUUUUGUUUUCUGCUGCUGGUGUUAGAGCUCAACAUCAAGUGUCAACAUGGUAAGGACUGGCAGAGCUAAGGGCUAUGAUCAACCUUAGCCUACAAGCUGCAACUCUGUCAACUCAGUUUAACUCCAGACUGACAUAAAAUGGGGCUAUUCACUCCUUAGCAGGUUACAUUUUUAUCUGCAACAUUUUCAAGAGUGUGAGGACAUCAAUGAUGAAAGUGAUAUGGGCCAAGAUAAUAAAAUUUUUUGUUUGAUUGCUGCCAUCUUUUCCCCUGGGAAGCAUAACUGUCUGAACCUCCAGAACUGAAAAAAACCCGAGUUGCAGUAGCUAAAGAGCUAUUGCUCUCUGACAAAUAGUUAUUCAUGUACCUUAUGGACCAGGGGAUGUUCAGGAUUUACUU